rnacentral:rRNA from 1 species
GAUGAACGCUGGCGGCGUGCCUAAUACAUGCAAGUCGAGCGAACAGACGAGGCUCUUGCUCCUCUGACGUUAGCGGCGGACGGGUGAGUCACACGUGUAUAACCUACCUAUAAGACUGGGAUACCUUCGGGAAACCGGAGCUAACACCGGAUAAUAUAUUGAACCUCAUGGUUCAUUAGUGAAAGACGGUUUUGCUGUCACUUAUAGAUGUAUCCGCGCUGCAUUAGCUAGUUGGUAGGGUAACGGCUUACCAAGGCAACGAUGCGUAGCCGACCUGAGAGAGUGAUCGGCCACUCUGGAACGAAGACAGGGUCCAGCCUCCUACGGGAGGCAGCAGUAGGGAAUCUUCCGCAAUGGGCGAAAGCCUGACGGAGCAACGCCGGGUGAGUGAUGAAGGUCUUCGGAUCGUAAAACUCUGUUAUUAGGGAAGAACAAAUGUGAGAGAAACAAUGCACGUCUUGACGGUACCUAAUCAGAAAGCCACGGCUAACUACGUG